rnacentral:rRNA from 1 species
AUUGAACGCUGGCGGCAGGCCUAACACAUGCAAGUCGAGCGGAGCGGCGGACGGGUGAGUAAUGCCUAGGAAUCUGCCUGGUCGUGGGGGAUACGUCCGGAAACGGGCGCUAAUACCGCAUACCUUCUGAUGAGCCUUGGUGGGAUUUGCUAGUUGGUGGGGUAAAGGCUUACCAAGGCGACGAUCCCUAACUGGUCUGAGAGGAUGAUCAGUCACACUGGAACUGAGACACGGUCCAGACUCCUACGGGAGGCAGCAGUGGGGAAUAUUGGACAAUGGGCGAAAGCCUGAUCCAGCCAUGCCGCGUGUGUGAAGAAGGUCUUCGGAUUGUAAAGCACUUUAAGUUGGGAGGCGUUACUAACAGAAGAAGCACCGGCUAACUUCGUGCCAGCAGCCGCGGUAAUAC